UACAGGGGGUGCAAACGUUGCUCGGAAUUAUUGGGCGUAAAGCGCGCGUAGGCGGCCACUUAAGUCGGAUGUGAAAGCCCCUGGCUCAACUGGGGAAGUGCACCCGAAACUGAAUGGCUUGAGUGCGAAAGAGGGUCGCGGAAUUCCCGGUGUAGAGGUGAAAUUCGUAGAUAUCCGGAGGAACACCGGUGGCGAAGGCGGCUUCCUGGACCGACACUGACGCUGAGGCGCGAAAGCUAGGGGAGCAAACAGG
rnacentral:rRNA from 1 species